rfam:Pseudomonas putida S11 PPS11_c53, whole genome shotgun sequence.
GAAGUUGUCGUCCUCGGCCGACAGAAGCGCCUGGAUGAAUUGUGGGGGAAUUUCCUCGAAGCGGAUCGGUGAGCGACGCAUUUCGCCGAACUCGGCAAUCAGCUUGCCGUCGCUGCUGUACACCCUGAGGGGGAUCUGCAACUGGAUGCUUCUGAGCGACUCGACCGAGGGCAGGUUGGGGCUAAGAUACAGAAACGCACCGCUCACACCGAGUACGAGCGCGCAGAUGACUGCGACGGAAGACCACCAGAAGAACUUCAGCAGACGUAUCAAGGCUUUUCGGUGUCCAGGUUG